rnacentral:sRNA from 1 species
GUUUUAAAAUGUUUUUUUAACUGGCCUUUAAGAAAAUAGUCUAAGCUAAUGAAAAACAAAAUUUAAAAGCAUACAGAUAGGUAAGUAAGCCAUAUAUUGGCUUGCAGUAAAGAUGAUUAAAGUCUUCCAUAAACUGAUGCAACUUCACUUCGAGAAAAGAAGAGACCAGAAGGACCUCCAUUAGGUAGCAGAGCCAACCUUACUACACUUUCAGCACCUUCAUCAACUCCAAGAUAGCCAAUAUUGAAGUUGAGAUCUGUUUUCACAAAGCCAGG